rnacentral:sRNA from 1 species
AGCAGCCGCGGUAAUUCCAGCUCCAAUAGCGUAUAUUAAAGUUGUUGCAGUUAAAAAGCUCGUAGUUGAAUUUCGGGAUCAAUUAAUUGGUCGUGCCUCUGGUACGUACUGAUUUUAUUGGUUUCUCCCUUCUGACGAACCAUGAUGUCAUUAAUUUGGUGUCGUGGAGAAUCAGGACUGUUACUUUGAAAAAUUAGAGUGUUUAAAGCAAGCUAACGCUUGAAUACAUUAGCAUGGAAUAAUGAAAUAGGACGUUUGAUCCUAUUUUGUUGGUUUCUAGGAUCGACGUAAUGAUUAAUAGGGAUAGUUGGGGGCAUUAGUAUUCAAUUGUCAGAGGUGAAAUUCUUGGAUUUAUUGAAGACUAACUACUGCGAAAGCAUUUGCCAAGGAUGUUUUCAUUAAUCAAGAACGAAAGUUAGGGGAUCGAAGACGAUCAGAUACCGUCGUAGUCUUAACCAUAAACUAUGCCGACUAGGGAUCGGAUGAUGUUAAUUUUUUAAUGACUCAUUCGGCGCCUUAA